rnacentral:rRNA from 1 species
UGGGGAAUAUUGGACAAUGGGCGCAAGCCUGAUCCAGCCAUGCCGCGUGAGUGAUGAAGGCCUUCGGGUCGUAAAGCUCUGUGGGGAGGGACGAAAGGCCCCGGCCCAAUACGCCGGGGAGUUGACGGUACCUCCUUAGCAAGCACCGGCUAACUCCGUGCCAGCAGCCGCGGUAAUACGGAGGGUGCAAACGUUGCUCGGAAUCAUUGGGCGUAAAGCGCACGUAGGCGGUCGUGUAAGUCAGGUGUGAAAGCCCUGGGCUCAACCCAGGAAGUGCACUUGAAACUGCGAGGCUUGAGUACGGAAGGGGGUCUCGGAAUUCCCGGUGUAGAGGUGAAAUUCGUAGAUAUCGGGAGGAACACCAGCGGCGAAGGCGGAGACCUGGGCCGAUACUGACGCUGAGGUGCGAAAGCGUGGGGAGCAAACAGG